UCAGGAUGAACGCUAGCUACAGGCUUAACACAUGCAAGUCGAGGGGCAGCGCAGUGCAGCAAUGCACGGGCGGCGACCGGCGCACGGGUGCGUAACGCGUAUCCAACCUUCCCGUUACUCUUGGAUAGCCUUCCGAAAGGGAGAUUAAUACAGGAUGGUGUUCAAAUUCCGCAUGUUAUUUGAACUAAAGAUUUAUCGGUAACGGAUGGGGAUGCGUGACAUUAGGUAGAUGGCGGGGUAACGGCCCACCAUGCCUACGAUGUCUAGGGGUUCUGAGAGGAAGGUCCCCCACACUGGAACUGAGACACGGUCCAGACUCCUACGGGAGGCAGCAGUGAGGAAUAUUGGUCAAUGGUCGGAAGACUGAACCAGCCAAGUAGCGUGAAGGAUGAAGGUUCUAUGGAUUGUAAACUUCUUUUAUACGGGAAUAAAGCCCACUACGUGUAGUGGUUUGUAUGUACCGUAUGAAUAAGCAUCGGCUAACUCCGUGCCAGCAGCCGCGGUAAUACGGAGGAUGCGAGCGUUAUCCGGAUUUAUUGGGUUUAAAGGGAGCGUAGACGGGAUGUUAAGUCAGUUGUGAAAGGCUGCGGCUCAACCGCAGCACUGCAGUUGAUACUGGCGUCCUUGAGUGCGGUUGAGGUGUGUGGAAUUCGUGGUGUAGCGGUGAAAUGCUUAGAUAUCACGAAGAACUCCGAUUGCGAAGGCAGCGUACCAAUCCGUAACUGACGUUGAUGCUCGAAAGUGUGGGUAUCAAACAGGAUUAGAUACCCUGGUAGUCCACACGGUAAACGAUGGAUACUCGCUGUUGGCGAUACAAUGUCAGCGGCCAAGUGAAAACGUUAAGUAUCCCACCUGGGGAGUACGCCGGCAACGGUGAAACUCAAAGGAAUUGACGGGGGCCCGCACAAGCGGAGGAACAUGUGGUUUAAUUCGAUGAUACGCGAGGAACCUUACCCGGGCUCAAACGACAGGGGAAUAUGCGUGAAAGCGCAUAGCUAGCAAUAGUCGCUGUCGAGGUGCUGCAUGGUUGUCGUCAGCUCGUGCCGUGAGGUGUCGGCUUAAGUGCCAUAACGAGCGCAACCCCUGCCUUCAGUUGCUAACAGUUAAGCUGAGGACUCUGGAGGGACUGCCGGCGCAAGCCGUGAGGAAGGAUGGGAUGACGUCAAAUCAGCACGGCCCUUACGUCCGGGGCGACACACGUGUUACAAUGGUCGGCACAGCGGGAAGCCAUAUGGUGACAUAGAGCGGAACCCGAAAGCCGGUCUCAGUUCGGAUCGGAGUCUGCAACUCGACUCCGUGAAGCUGGAUUCGCUAGUAAUCGCGCAUCAGCCAUGGCGCGGUGAAUACGUUCCCGGGCCUUGCACUCACCGCCCGUCA
rnacentral:rRNA from 1 species